GUCAAAGAACAAGAGACAAGCUUAUGGUGUUUCCACUAAAGCAGGUAAGUUCUUGAAGAUUCAACAGAGGAAAUGUAAAUGAUUUGGUCAUUCGUGAUGAAAGCUAUUGAUAGGGACAUCUGAAUUUUCCAUGAUGUUCUGAAGAAAUAUUCAUUAUUUCUAAGAUAGUAGAUUCUGAUCAUUAUGUAUAUAAUACGCCACUUUUACAUUUCAACUA
rnacentral:snRNA from 1 species